rnacentral:rRNA from 1 species
AUUGAACGCUGGCGGCAGGCUUAACACAUGCAAGUCGAGCGGGGGAAGGUAGCUUGCUACCGGACCUAGCGGCGGACGGGUGAGUAAUGCUUAGGAAUCUGCCUAUUAGUGGGGGACAACAUCUCGAAAGGAAUGCUAAUACCGCAUACGCCCUACGGGGGAAAGCAGGGGAUCUUCGGACCUUGCGCUAAUAGAUGAGCCUAAGUCGGAUUAGCUAGUUGGUGGGGUAAAGGCCUACCAAGGCGACGAUCUGUAGCGGGUCUGAGAGGAUGAUCCGCCACACUGGGACUGAGACACGGCCCAGACUCCUACGGGAGGCAGCAGUGGGGAAUAUUGGACAAUGGGCGGAAGCCUGAUCUAGCCAUGCCGCGUGUGUGAAGAAGGCCUUUUGGUUGUAAAGCACUUUAAGCGAGGAGGAGGCUACUUAGAUUAAUACUCUGGGAUAGUGGACGUUACUCGCAGAAUAAGCACCGGCUAACUCUGUGCCAGCCGCCGCCGUAA